rnacentral:tRNA from 1 species
AGAAACUUAGGCUAACAGAACUAAACCAAAGGCCUUCAAAGCCUUAAAUAAGAGUUAAAAUCUCUUAGUUUCUG